ensembl:lncRNA
CUGGUCACCUGUACUAACCCUUCCUGGUCACCUGUACUACCGUUCCUCACACCUGAUACCCUCCUGGAACCUGUCUAACCCUUCCUGGUCACCUGUACUAACCCAACUGUAUGAGUUAGCUGUCCUUUAGGAGCGUCACUGUGUGUUGUGUUAGCUGUCCUUUAGGAGCUCACUGGUGUUGUGUUAGCUGGCCUUUUAGGAGCUCACUGUGUUGUGUUAGCUGUCCUUUAGGAGCUCACUGUGUGGUGUUACCUGUCCUUCAGGAGCUCACUGUGUGUUACCGGUCCUUUAGGAGCUCACUGUGUGUGUAUUGUGUUAGCUGUCCUUUAGGAGCUCACGGUGUGUAUUUGUUAGCUGUCCUUUACGAGCUCACUGUGUUUGUAUUUGUUAGACUGUCCUUUAC